rnacentral:tRNA from 1 species
ACCUGGCUGGCUAAGUCAGUAGAGCAUGGGACUUUCGAUCUCAGGAUUGUAAGUUCAAGCCCCAUGCUGGGUG